rnacentral:rRNA from 1 species
GUGGGGAAUUUUGGACAAUGGGCGCAAGCCUGAUCCAGCCAUGCCGCGUGCAGGAAGACGCAUCUAUGGUGUGUAAACUGCUUUUGUACGGGAAGAAACACUCCCUCGUGAGGGAGCUUGACGGUACCGUAAGAAUAAGGAUCGGCUAACUCCGUGCCAGCAGCCGCGGUAAUACGGAGGAUCCAAGCGUUAUCCGGAAUCAUUGGGUUUAAAGGGUCCGUAGGCGGUUUAAUAAGUCAGUGGUGAAAGCCCAUCGCUCAACGAUGGAACGGCCAUAGAUACUGUUAGACUUGAAUUACAAGGAAGUAACUAGAAUAUGUAGUGUAGCGGUGAAAUGCUUAGAUAUUACAUGGAAUACCAAUUGCGAAGGCAGGUUACUACUUGUGGAUUGACGCUGAUGGACGAAAGCGUGGGGAGCGAACAGGAUUAGAAACCCGUGUAGUCC